GCUGAUAGGAGAGGGCUAUGGACGUGCAGAACAGUAAACGGGGACGACCAUGGCCCACCGCGGACCCGCGGGCUUGGACAUAGAGGCGGCCGGUGCGACAGCAGCGCAAGGAACAGUUGCCACCACGCAGGAGAAUCCGCGGGUGAAUGUUGGCGGUUGGUCUCGAGCGGGGCGCGCGCCCUGGAUGCUCGUGCGAUUCGCUGGUCUCGAGACGUCCUGCAUGACAAUCAACACUUCUGCACCCCUGGUGAAAGAAAUAUCCAUAUCAAUCUAAGCAACCGUGGAAAUUGCUCCCUGACCAGCACAUCAUGGUGUAUCCACACUGGCAGGUGUGUGUUUGUGAAUCAGUGUGAGCUUGCGUGUGUCUGUGUGUGUGUGUGUGUAUGUGUGUGUGUGUGUGUGUGUGUGUGUGUGUGUGUGUGUGUGUGUGUGUGUGUGUGUGUGUGUGUGUGUGUGUGUGUGUGUGUGUGUGUCGCUGGAAGACCGAGGACUGCGUGACCAAGGCCUGAGGGGUUGUCUGUUAUCUUUGGUUAUCUAGCUGUAUGAGUGGCAUACAUUCUUCAUAAAGCUAGAUAACCGAAAGUAACAAGAAUCCCAUUACACGCUCGCCAGGCCCCCCCUGCCCCCACCAUCGCAACCGCCACCACCAGUGAAAACACAAAAACCAGAGACGCAAAAACUUCAAGAACUGUACUGAACCACAGAGAAGGAUUUCACUCUGACGCCACAGAAAAAAGAUCCAAGGAGCCAUCAUCUGGCGGCUGGCUCCUCUGUGGACUCCAAGAGAAGCAACGCAACCUUCGGUUGUAGGACGAUUGGGCCCAGACUCUCUCCUCAGCCCGAAAGCUAGUGGAGGGAACAAAAAAAGGUUGGAUCCUUCCGGAACAACGAAGCUGCAAACAAUGUAACAACGACGGACGGCGCUGUGAUUCUGAUCCACCCGGAGCGACAAAAUGGGAAGGGAGUGUGGAGGAGGGAACCAUACGCUGAGGGACACACCAGGGACUGGAGGGGUGCCAGAAUCUAUUUCUACAUAAACUGAGAGAAAGUUGGACUAUCAUGAAGAUAAUCUGGGACUAAACUCACCCAAGGGGAGUGUGUGUGUCUGUAUGUGUGUGUGUGAGAGAGAGAGAGUGAGAGAGAGAGAGAGAGAGAGAGAGAGAGAGAGAGAGAGAGAGAGAGAGAGAGAGAGAGAGAGAGAGAGAGAGAGAGAGAGAGAGAGAGGAAGGAAUGUAUAUAUUUGUGCGUGUGUGUGAGUGUGUGUGUGUGUGAGUGUGAGUGUGAGUGUGUGUGUGUGUGUGUGUGUGUGUGUGUGUGUGCGUAUGUGGAACACUGUGUUCUCAGGAACCAUUUUGCACAGCUGUUCGUUAUAUAUCUGUACUAUGUAGGUCAGAGCUUAGACAGGACACACACACACACACAUACACACACACAAA